CGCGACUCAUUAAAGGAUCCCAUUUGUCUCCGUAAUGGCCGUGUUGUAUUUCUGCUUCGUAGCCAAUCCGUGUACAAAUCCGGGACUUUCUCUUUAGUCUCUUCCACCUUUCCAUGGAAAAGAACGCUUCUCGGGCAGCUUCCCGCCGUUCCUCAGCGCAGAGCGGGGCGAGCUGCGUUCCGGCCGCCGUUCCGUAGCGCUGCAGCGGGCGCCGAGCUCCGUACCGCCGGGAGCGGCUCACAGAUCCCGCCCCGAAGGCGCCGCCGUCAUUCACAUGGAGAGAGCGCCGGGCCGCGCGGAUGCCGCCGGAAGGACCGAACCGUUACCGCGACUGCCGAAAGCAGCUCGCGUGCUUGCUCGCUCGUAGCCCGGGCAGCCGUCAGCCCCGACGCUCGCUACCCGCUCGCGCUCUUCCCGCCCGAGAGCAGAAAUCGGCGCCGCCCCGCCCUCAGAUGACACCACUGGUAAGCAAGAAGACGGACCAACUUCUGGGUAAGUCGGAGGCUGUUUGUUCAUUCUAAGAUUGUGCUGCAGUGGUCGAGGUGUGCUGAGCACAGCCUGAGGAAUGCCAUGGACCAGUGCUGCUGCCGGGUGCCUUCCACCCUCCCCAUCGCACGGGGCCACCGCCAUCAGACUGGGCCCGCAGUGUUUGUACGAGCGGAAGUUGAACUGGGUCAGUCGGCCCAUUCAAUUUAAAACUUUUUCUUCCUUUUUUUCCCCCUCAAAUAAAUUUUAAAUCAGAUUUAUUCUCCAGUUUAAUGUCCAGGGAAAAUAAAGUGGCCUGGGGGUAGGACUUGAUGUCAGUCUGGUGUUAAUGCUGUGGCAUUUACUUUAGCCUGGAAAAGCUAAAAUCCUUGAGCCUAAGUUAAAACCUUAAUAUGAUCAAGUCAAAUUUUUUUGUGUGGUUUGUGAAGUAUGUGGUUCAGGUAAGACUGUCAAGCUACAGCUAUGGGAGCAACCCAGUGAUAAGUAUUGAUUUCUGUGCGUGAAACUAUUGCCUGCUCUUGACAAUAACUCCUCCAGAGUUGCACAGUGUGUUCUGCACCAGCAGGCUUUUUUCUCAGCAGUUUCUCUCUGUUGCCGUGUUUACAUGCACAAUGGUGUCAGAAGGCUCCAGUGCUCACUGAGCUGUGGUGUGCUCAGUGCCAUCACACGAUCUUGGUCGCAUUCACUGUCCCCUAAGGUCAUUGUAGAUCUGGAAUCUGGUACUUUGGUGAUUGUUACAUAUACUGUCCUACUGCUAUAGUACGUACCCUGUGCCUGGGGAAUACGACAAAUUGACCAAAACAAAACAACAAAACAGAAGUUUUAGCAGCGAUAUGUGUGACAGCAUCCUUAUUGACAGUGAGCACCCGCCUGAAUUCAGAGCUGUGGUGCAUUCUGUGACAUUGUCUCUUUGUUUGUGGCCUCUGUUAGCAGAUACCCCGGGAUGUGGUGCUGGCAUGGCUGUAGUGCUUGCCUCUGUCCACAAAACGUGAUGCAGGACACAGGGCCCGCUGUCAUUUCCUAGCCUAAGGGACAUGUUGGCUGCCUGCAGUCUGUGCAGGAUGCUGCACCAUCCGCACACAGUGUGGGAGGUUACCUUGGCUUUCCAGGGAAAUAGAACAGCUCUGACAUUUCUUUGCCUGCACGUGAUGGCUGUGGUCCUGUCAGUUGGUUCGUUCCCAUAGAGCAGACAGGUUAGGGAUUGACUGUUACUUCGAAAAUGUUUAUUUGAACUCUGAUUCAUACAUUUUAAUGCACACCCACAGAUACUUCAUGUGACUGAAAGCUGGAGGUAAUACUUGUCACUUACUUUAUUUGGCCGUCUUUAAUUUUUAAGAAAGCUCCAGGAUUGAGAUCAAUGUUACAGGUUGCCUGGAUGUGACAAACCUCUGUGAAAGUUUUGAAGCCAUCUGUGAAGUUUGCUGUAGUGAUGCAUCUUCUGGCCCUUGUGUAACAGGCCACAUCUGUGACUUUGACAUACUUCUAGAGGCUGAUUUUUCUCUUAGACACCUCUGCUAUUUUGUAUAACAGGAAGUGUCUUCAGCCAUCACCUCGCGAACAUUACUUCAUCUGCUGAACCUUUGUCCAUCUCUUCGGUCUUGACUUGACUGAAGUUCUCCGUAUCUGGAGGGAUUUUGCAAGAUGAGAGCUUCAGUGACUGCUGAUUUUGUUGUUGUUCUUUUUUCUCACUAGCUGCUGAGUUGUGUUAGUAUGAUCUGUGGCUUAUCUGUUUGGUGUGUCCUUUUAUGCAGCCUCCUCAGUGGUUUUAAUCUGACCAGUGUUUGGAUUCUGUUGGGUGUUACACGUGUUUCUUUUUGAAGAUAAGUUUGUGUGUUUAUUAUCAGAUGUGAUGUUUUAAAUUAAUUGCAGAGUUGUUGGUUUUUUUUUUCCCACCGGUGGCAAAACUGGCUUGGGCUACUCCAGCAGUGUGUUAUUAAAGCCAAAAUUGUUUUGAAGUUCUGCUGGGUUUUUACCUGUGCCAUUAGGGAAGAAUGGCCCCUCUUCACCUGCCAGAUCUGUAACA
ensembl:lncRNA